UGCGUAGCGCCGACUGAACUCGGCCGCGGCUGAGCGUUUGUGGCCACCGCGAGCGGCCAGCCGACGUACGAUGCGCGGUCGCCUUGCGGACCUCGCCUCUGAUCCGGCCCGACCCGAACCUAGGAAGAGCGGGAUUUGCGGGGAUCAAUGGGAGGCCACAUCUCGAGGAAUACGGGAGUGACCGGCUGGAGCAUCGAAUUUCAAACUCUAGCUGGCCACAUGGCUUCCCAGAAUACAAGCAAGUUUCUCAGACUCUUUUGCAUCUAGGUAUGGUCAUGAUUCAUUUCCAGCCCACAGGAGCAGCCAUGUGGCCCUCGCAGCCGGUCGCAGAACAUGUAGGCCUGAGCACAGUGCCAGCUGGAGUGCAGCUGGGAACACAGACUAAGCUGCCCGGAUGAGGACAGAGACAUGGACUAAACCAGUGGUGCCACGUGUCUAGAUACAGGCUGUAUUUCUGGGCCUGAUGAAGACAAGAUUGGACUAUUUUCACAGCAGGACAGUUGGAGAUGGGAUAUAGAGCUGAACCCAGACAGCGCUUAUGUUUGCUCCAGCUUCUUCAACUGACUUUACCACUAAGUUUUAUCCUCCCACAUGUGGGUCCCUGGAAUGCUUUUUCACAACCCUGUGAAAGGGCUUCAUUUCCACCAGCAACAUCAGUACUGUUUCUCAACUUAAGAAAUGCCAUAAUGAGAAGCCCACAGCUGGUACCACACUCUAUGGUAUAAAGUUAAAAGUGUUUCCUCUGAGAUUAGGAACAGACAAGUAUGCCCAUUCUCUCCAUUUCUGCACAACAUAGUACUGGAAGCCCUACUUGGAGCAAUUAAACAAGAAAAAGAAG